GACGAACGCUGGCGGCGUGCUUAACACAUGCAAGUCGAACGGAAAGGCCCCCUUGUGGGGUACUCGAGUGGCGAACGGGUGAGUAACACGUGAGUAACCUACCCUUGACUUUGGGAUAACCUCAGGAAACUGGGGCUAAUACCGGAUAGGAGCUCCUGCUGCAUGGUGGGGGUUGGAAAGUUUCGGCGGUUGGGGAUGGACUCGCGGCUUAUCAGCUUGUUGGUGGGGUAGUGGCUCACCAAGGCUUUGACGGGUAGCCGGCCUGAGAGGGUGACCGGCCACAUUGGGACUGAGAUACGGCCCAGACUCCUACGGGAGGCAGCAGUGGGGAAUAUUGCACAAUGGGCGGAAGCCUGAUGCAGCAACGCCGCGUGCGGGAUGACGGCC
rnacentral:rRNA from 1 species